GAUGUUGAAUUUGACCCCGGUAAGAGAAUACCAAUUGAGGAGUUAGAUCCAGACAUUAGAGAUCUUGCUAGAAGGGAGUACAUUAGUAUGGGUCCUUGCCAACCAACUAAUCAUACAUAUGAAAAGAUAAAUGGUAGGAGCUUUCAUAACUAUUAGUUCAAUGAUCAUCGUGGCUGAUUGGAAUAUAGCAUUGAAAAAAGAUCAGCCUUUUGCUUUUAUUGUUUUCUGUUUAAGCAACCAAGAGCUGAAAACUAUGGUAUUGAAGCAUUCACGAGAAAUGGAUUCAAAUCUUGGAAGGAUGGACCUAAAGUUUUUAAUCAACAUGUUGGCAAGCAUGAUAGUGCUCAUAAUAAAUCUAGGCAACAUUAUGAGGAUUUCAAAAAUCAAAGACAAAGUAUUGUCAAAUUUUUGAUACAACAAGCUCUUGCUUUUCGUGGUCAUGAUGAGUGUACUAGCUCAAUGAAUAAGGGUAACUUUAAAGAGUUGUUGGACUUGUUCAUAAAGAAAGACCCAUAGGUGGCAAAAUUAUUUGGGGGUGCGGGAGAUAACCAUAAGCUGACAUCACAUAAGAUACAAAAGGAUUUAUGCAAGACUUGUGCAAAAGAGACCACCGAUGCCAUUCUUGAGGAGAUUGGAGAUAGUAAAUUUGCAUUACUUGUUGAUGAGUCCAGAGAUGCAUCUAUGAAGGAGCAAAUGGCUAUGUGUUUGAGGCAUCUCGGCAAACGAGGGGAGGUGACUGAGAGAUUCAUGGCAGUUGAGCAUGUUCCUGACACUAAAGCAACUUCACUAAUGGUAGCUUUGGAUGGUAUGUUUGGUAAUCUUGGCUUAUCUAUGUCUAAUUUGAGAGGGCAGGGUUAUGAUGGGGCUUCAAACAUGAGAGGGGAAUUUCGUGGGUUGCAAAGAUUGAUCUUGGAGGAAAAUCCUUAUGCUCAUUAUAUACAUUGUUUUGCCCACCAGUUACAAAUAGUGGUUGUUGCUGUUGCCAAGUGUUGUUCAUCAGUAAGGGAUUUUUUUGAGUACACAAGCAUGGUUGUUAACAUUGUUAAUGCUUCUUGUAAAAGACAUGUUCAGUUAGCCUAAGAGCAACAUGAUGAAAUAGUACGCCAAAUAGAGUCCGGGGAACUUCUUGAGGGAAAAGGGAAAAACCAACUAACUAACCUUGCAAGACCUGAUAAUGUUUCCCAAAGAACCACAGCUGCGGGGUUGAUAAAGCACAUGGAGUAUUUUGAAUUUGUUCUCAUAUUGCAUCUUAUGAUUAGAUUAUUGGGCAAGACUAACAAUCUGUCACAAUGCUUGCAAUUGAAAAAUCAAAAUAUUGUACCUGUUGUGGGAUUGAUUAAAACCACAUUGGAGGGUAUUCAAGAGAUAAGGUAGAAUGGUUGGGACGAGCUCUUCAAAGAGGUAACAGACUUUUGUGUCAAAUUCAACAUUGUAGUGCCAAAUAUGGAAGAUACAAGAACUGCUAAUGGCCGUUCAAGGUCUUGGGGUGGGCAAUUGGUAACUUACAACCAUCAUUUCAAAUUUGAAAUAUUCAAUGUGUUGCAUGAUCAACUUAUUGUGGAGUUGAACAACCGCUUUGCUAAAAGGUCUACUCAAUUGUUGAGAUGCAUUGCUUGUUUUGACCCCAAGAAUUCAUUUGCCAAUUAUAAUGAAGACAAGCUAGUAGAUCUUGCUAAUAUGUAUGCUACUGAUUUCUCUACAUAUGAAGUUACUUUUGUCCUUAGAAACCAACUAGACUCAUUCAUUCGGGAAGCAAGAGGUGAUCCACAUUUGAUGAAUUGCAAUGAUCUUGGUCAUCUUGCCAUGAAUAUGGUUAAAAGUGAUAUGCACACAACUUUUCCCUUAGUUUACCGUCUGGUUGAGUUAGCAUUGAUUUUACCUGUUGCAACCGCAACCGUGGAAAGGGCAUUCUCAGCAAUGAGCAUUAUCAAGAUCGGAUUGAGGAACAAAAUGGGUGAUGAUUGGAUGAAUCAUAGAAUGGUAUGUUACAUUGAGAGAGAUGUAUUUGUUAGUAUGGAAGAAUCCAAGAUCAUUGAGCGAUUUCAAGGUUAUCGCACACGUAAAGGUGUUUUGCCUCGUCCAACACGUAAGUUUUCACAUUUUGCAUCUAUUGUUAAUUAG
rnacentral:rRNA from 1 species